UACGUAGGUCCCGAGCGUUGUCCGGAUUUAUUGGGCGUAAAGCGAGCGCAGGCGGUUUGAUAAGUCAGAAGUAAAAGGCUGUGGCUCAACCAUAGUACGCUUUUGAAACUGUCAAACUUGAGUGCAGAAGGGGGGAGUGGAAUUCCAUGUGUAGCGGUGAAAUGCGUAGAUAUAUGGAGGAACACCGGUGGCGAAAGCGGCUCUCUGGUCUGUAACUGUCGCUGAGGCUCGAAAGCGUGGGGAGCGAACAGG
rnacentral:rRNA from 1 species